rnacentral:rRNA from 1 species
AGCGAACGCUGGCGGCAGGCCUAAUUAUAUGCAAGUCGAACGCACCUUCGGGUGAGUGGCGGACGAGUGAGUAACACGUGGGAACGUGCCCUUUGGUUCGGAAUAAUCCGGGGAAACCUGGCCUAAAACCGGAUAAGCCCUUCGGGGAAAGAUUUAUCGCCAGAGGAGCGGCCCGCGGCUGAUUAGCUAGUUGGUGGGGU